UUGUUCAUUGAAGAGAAAUUGAAAUUGUUUUGUUUUUUGUAUGAAAUGUCCAACAUACACGUAUGAUGUGUUUGUGUAUCAUAAUAACAAUAUGUGUCGUAUGUGUAAUGCUAAAUUGAAUAAGGAAAAUUAUUUCAAUAAUGACUAAUGACCUAACGAAUAUUUGACUGUGGUGGGUAUUAAUAGUAUAAUCUACAUUCUACAAAAUAGUCAUCGUUAUCGGAAACAGUUUAUUUGUUUAUGAAGUACCUAUGUGUACAUUUCGUUUCGCUUGCUCGUGACCUUGCUUCUGUUGUAGUGCGAAUUUCGACUUGGAUUUGAAUGAAAGAAAAUUAUACCUACAUAACUGAUUGCUAGGCAGUGAUUUAUUUUUCUCUUACUCAAUUAUACACUGGAACUAAAUGACAUGUGCUUGCAAAAUUAACAUUCACAGUAACCGAUGAUCACUAUCCCCCUACGAGCCCCUCCUUCUUCUUGCCGCUUUCACAGUCACCGAUCAUCGCCACCCCCCUACGAGCCUCUCUUUAAGUUAUCUUGCCACAGAUUCCGAUAAGUCUUACUGAAAAGCUUGACUAACGUUUAAUUUUUAUGCAUCAUACGUUUUCUAGACAGUAUUCGGUACGAUACCUUUCUAAGUAUAAUUUUCAUUAUUUUUACAGAUUUUACAGUCACUGAUGAUCUCCGCACCCCUACGAGCCUCUCCUUAAGUUGUCCUGCCACAAUUUCAGAUUUUACAGCCACUGGUGACCGCCGCCCCCCUACGAGCCUCUCUUUAAGUUGUCCUGCCACAAUUUCAGGAUGUUAAAAGAACAUCCAUUUGGGAUUUUAAGGAUAUCUUAUACAGAUCCGUUUCAUGUUCGGCGGACGUCUUCAGGAUGUCGUAUGGAUAGACGAAUGUCACAGUUUCAUACAUUCAUAAAAUAUACUCAACGGACAUUUGAAAAACAUACGGACGGGAUAUUUACAGGACAUCUUAGGAAUGACACAUAUAUAUCGUAUUGUUUGCUAUCAUACUUUUUGAUGGAAUAGGCUAUCUUUAUACAAACGCAUAUGAAUCUCUAUCUAAGUUUAUUGCAUACAAAUAAAAAAAUACUUAUUUGAACAUGUUAUGGAUAAAUACAAGGUAAUAAUAUUACAAUAAGGAAUUUCGUUUACUUUUGGUGAUUAACUGUUCUUUUGCUCUUCGCAAUUUUUUAUCCCUUCUUCUAGAUUCUUGCUUGAACAACUGGAUGUUGCUUGAUUUAAUCUAGCAGCAUCUGUGGAAUAGAAAAAAAACAUAUUAAUAGUUUUUAAAAAAAUAUUAGUAUGUAACUUAUGAUUUAUCAUACCUAUCUAAAUUUACUUAAUGAAAACUUAUAAUCCUAUUUUAUUAAUUAGUAACUUACUUAUUAUCAGUCUAGAUAGAUGGAGAUGACAAAAUACUUCCUUCUUUUUGGCACCUUUGGCCAGUUAUAUCUUACGGAAAUAUCGUCCGACAAAAUUUUUGUAAACACCCUCUUUACAAAUUCGUAGGGAGUAUGUCCGCCAAUUCUUACAACUUCUUGUGCCUAAAAAAUAUUAACUGCAAGUAUUUCUACACAAAAAUAAUUAAGCAAAUUUACCGAUAAUAAUAAUAAAUUUUCGUGAUUAAGAAGUAUAUCUAUUACAGAUUCAUUUUUAGAGAUAUUAUUUUCUGGAAAACGAGAUGUAACAGACAACUGGAAUUGUACAUUUAAUUUAUUCGUAGUGCAGUUAUUAUUAUCUGCGUAUUUCUGACUAAAGGUAUAUUUUUUUUUUUGGUAUUAUAUAGAUGCUAUUAAUAAAGAAAUUUCAGAUGUUUUUUUAGCGACCCUGUAUCGCUGUCUCGGCAAUUUUAAUUUAACCAUCACGAAAAAAUAUUGUUAAGUACGUUAUUAUUAUUAUUAUCACUUACCUGAUUUUAUAUCGAUUUACUGAAUAAAAAUUCAUUUCACUUACGAACAAGAUAUACACAAGACGUUUACGUUUAAUAUGAUUAAUACAAACACUUUAGGAAAUCCCACAAUCAGGCGGUUACCAGACAACGCUUUUCACUAAUCUAAAUUAUUAUUAAUCGACAGUAAUGGACUUUGGACUAUUACAACCCAUGUUAUAACGUUACCGCUGUUACGAUUUGCAAGGGCAAAAGCAAAUUCUUUGGCGCCGUUUUAUAAAACAAUUGUAAUGUAAUGACGUCAGUGAUACUAACGCCACAUUAUAAAACAUACAUACAAUACAUAGGUACAUAUGUGCCCACAUUUUAAUAUGUAUUUUAUAAUAAUAUCUGAUAAUAUCUGCUGAUAUCCACUGGAUAUCCGAUGUAUGUCCUAUAAAGACACCAGUACAUGUGUCCAAUGAGGAUAUACAUAGUAUGUCCUCAACUAAUCCCUUAAGGAAAUUGGACAUGAUGGACGCAAUAGGGACCUUAUCGUACAUCCAUAGGAUAUUGCGUGCUGUAUGGGAACGUUCAAUUUUAUGCAUACCUCUUCUUGAACGUAUUCCGUGCGGUACCUUUCAAAGUAUAAUUUUCAUUAUUUUUACAAAUUUUACAGCCAGUGAUGAUCUCCGCCCCCUACGAGCCUCUCCUUAAGUUGUCCUGCCACAAUUUUAGAAUUUACAGCCACUGGUGAACGCCGCCCCCCUACGAGCCUCUCUUUAAGUUGUCCUGCCACAAUUUCAGAUUUUACAGCCACUGGUGAACGCCGCCCCUCUACGAGCCUUUCUUUAAGUUGUUCUGCCACAAUUUCAGAUUUUACAGCCACUGGUGAUCGCCGCCCCCCUACGAGCCUCUCUUUAAGUUGUCCUGCCACAAUUUCAGAUUUUACAGCCACUGAUGAUCGCCGCCCCCGUACGAACUACUGUUUGGCUAGCUUUGCCACUCAUUCCGAUUUCACAGUCAUUGAUCAUCGCCGCCCCCCUACGAGCUUAUGUUUAAGUUGCCCAGCCAUAAGUUC